UGCACGCUAUGGCGUGGCCGGCGGAAACGCCCCAGCUCCUCACUACAAGGGGUAGGACACCUAUAGGCGUGCUUU
rnacentral:ncRNA from 1 species